UAAAAAAAAAAAAAAAACUUUCUUUCUUUUUUCAAUUUUAUUAUAAUCUUUUAAUUUGAUCAAAUUGAUACAUGAACUAAAAAAAUUGUAACAAUUUUAACAAUUAACUGGUUACAGCAUAUCGUAACUGGCAAAUGGGCUGAUUUGGCGGUUUAUUUAAUGAUUCAAAAUGCACCAUUUCACUUUAGCAACACUUCAUUCCAGGGUGGAUUUCUGCUGCACCUUUUCCAUCUUCAGCUCCUUUCUGUCUCCUUGGCUUCCUUCUUCCUUGGUUCUCAACAGAUAACACAGCUUCAGGCCCAUUAUUACUUGCCCCACCAUGGCUGACACAACAUCCAUGCCCACACAAGUGCAAAUCAUUCAUCUCUCUCCCCCACAUCUCAACCAGAUCAAAUGCAAGCCCCCACUUCAAAAAUUACCCUUGAACCCAUUGAACAACCGCCAUCGCGACAAAUACUACUAGCAUCAUCUUUUUAACCACUCAAAAACAUUCUCCAACCUAUAAGUGAAACUCAGCAAGGGAGAGAGAUCAUGAAAUCGGAGAUGUACAGGGACGUGGCCAGCUACAACAUGGAAGUGCAACUAUGGUGACGCUUCUGUAUUAGGAUUUGAGAUGUGUUUGGGAGGCUAGUAUCUUUGAUUGGUAUCCGUGCUGCUUCUCGUUUCACCCAUUUGUUUGUCGUUGUAUUCCCUCCUGCUCUCACGUUCUUAUGGUUGGCUAUGUCAGUGCAUGCAAUUACCAAUUUUUAAUGACCUAUGCCACCAUUAGGGUUAGCAUAAUACCUUUGAUUUUCAGUCUUCAACUUUUGGGUGAUAGUUUUACUUGAAGCCUUGAAAGAUAUGUAGAGGAGAAGAAUCAAGCGAGGAAUUAGGGUUUUUUUAGUUGACAGAUUUGGGCAAGUGAUGAUAGAGCAUUAAUUGCUCAUUGAGAAAUGUUUAAAAUGGUGAGUUUUGACUUUUUCCAUUGUCAUUGCCAAUCCAGCCAAUUUGCCGGUUACAAUAUUCUCUAACCAAUUAAUUGCUAAAAUUGUUACAAUGUUUUUAGUUCAUAUAUCAAUUUGAUAAAAUUAAAAGGUGGUGAUAAAAUUGACAAAAAGCAUAUUUUUUUGGGUCAUUAAGCCUUUAUUAAAUAUUGUUUCAUCUAGAUAUCUCUGGUGUUGAUUUGACUAUGUAUAUGAGCUUUAACAUAUUCUCAUGCACAUUAAAUCAAAUUAAAGAAAUAAAACAAAGAGGCCAUCUUUAGAUGAGAAAUUAGAGCUGUUGCUAGUAUUGCAUUCCGCAAAGGUCAUUCUGCUGCCUUUCUUGUGGUCCUUUUUCUUUUUUAUUCCCUUCUUUUUCUCAUCCUUUUCCCCCUCUCCUUUUAAAGAAGGAAAGCUAUGGAAGUGAUUAUUCUGAAUUGAAUAAAGAUGAUUAAGAAGAUUGUUGUGCUUGAUCAUGACUAUUCUUAAGGCUAUUAAAAACUGUUAUUUUUUAUGGGAUUAUGGUUUCAGACUUUCUAACAUCAUUCCUUUUUUUUUCAAUUAAAAAAAAAUCGCGGCUA
rnacentral:misc_RNA from 1 species